rnacentral:rRNA from 1 species
AGUGAACGCUGGCGGUAGGCCUAACACAUGCAAGUCGAACGGCAGCACAGUAAGAGCUUGCUCUUACGGGUGGCGAGUGGCGGACGGGUGAGGAAUACAUCGGAAUCUACUUUUUCGUGGGGGAUAACGUAGGGAAACUUACGCUAAUACCGCAUACGACCUACGGGUGAAAGCAGGGGAUCUUCGGACCUUGCGCGAUUGAAUGAGCCGAUGUCGGAUUAGCUAGUUGGCGGGGUAAAGGCCCACCAAGGCGACGAUCCGUAGCUGGUCUGAGAGGAUGAUCAGCCACACUGGAACUGAGACACGGUCCAGACUCCUACGGGAGGCAGCAGUGGGGAAUAUUGGACAAUGGGCGCAAGCCUGAUCCAGCCAUACCGCGUGGGUGAAGAAGGCCUUCGGAUUGUAAAGCCCUUUUGUUGGGAAGAAAAGCAGCAGGUUAAUACCCCGCUGUUCUGACGGUACCCAAAGAAUAAGCACCGGCUAACUUCGUG